rnacentral:lncRNA from 1 species
UUAUUGGUAAGCAGCAUGUUUUGUCAUGAAACUGAGCUCCACAGUCAAUUUUUAAAAAUUAGGUUGUUUUCCUAAGUCUUCUCACUAAUCUUCUGCUCUUGUGGCAUUAUUCUCUCCUCUAGGUUUCUGGUAUCAAUUUAUCACUGCAGCUGAGAUCGGGGUCCAGGAAGUUAGGAUCCAGUGGCCAAAAGUUAAAAGAAGAGGCUUCGUAAGGGAAAAACACCACACAGAAAGAAACAUCUGCAUGUGAACUGAGCUUUAAGCGAAAGCUUCAGAAGGCAAGAAGGUACCAUUUUUGACCACUGUAGUAUGGGCCAUAAAGAUCCAGUUGCUAAAUUAGUGCUACAAAGGACAGC